AUACGUAGGGUGCAAGCGUUAAUCGGAAUUACUGGGCGUAAAGCGUGCGCAGGCGGUUUUGUAAGACAGAGAUGAAAUCCCCGGGCUCAACCUGGGAACUGCCUUUGUGACUGCAAGGCUAGAGUACAGCAGAGGGGGAUGGAAUUCCUCGUGUAGCAGUGAAAUGCGUAGAUAUGCGGAGGAACACCGAUGGCGAAGGAAAUCCCCUGGGCCUGUACUGACGCUCAUGCACGAAAGCGUGGGGAGCAAACAGGAUUAGAUACCCUGGUAGUCCACGCCCUAAACGAUGUCAACUGGUUGUUGGGUAUUCAUUGACUCAGUAACGAAGCUAACGCGUGAAGUUGACCGCCUGGGGAGUACGGCCGCAAGGUUGAAACUCAAAUGAAUUGACGGGG
rnacentral:rRNA from 1 species